GAGAUCCGAAAGGAAUGUGUUUACUACAUUGAAAAGGAAAGAAAUAACUUUUAAAUAUUAUUAAAUUUUCCAGACAUAUCAUUAUUUUUCAACCUGAGAUGGCAAACUAGAGGUUUUAAAAAGUCCUGAAUAACUGAAAUGGACAAAAAUACAAAGAUUUAUUCAGAAUAUAAUACCGAUGAAGAUCACAUAAAAAUAUUUGGAAAAAUCAGAAGUAUGGAUUACAAUAUGGGACAACAUCCCUAAUGCGCCUUGAAAUGAGGAACUCAAAAGUCACGUGUAAAGAAAAAAUCUCUGUGUAGUGAUAUUGGACAUGUUUCUAUUUUUAGCAAAUGACUGAACUUAACUAUUUGUGGUGAUUAGGAAAGUAGAGGAACAUAGAAUAAAUGUGUUAAAACUAUGGAGCUAUUGAAUGUGUUCAAAGUAUUAAAUUUUCAAAGAACUUAUUGUGUUAAAAAGGGGAUAUUUUACCACAAGGAGCCGCAUCACAGCAGGAUGUUCGGGGUUUGCUAAUUUACGGAAAAAGUAAUCUCACUUCGUACCCCGAAAAUUUAACCACAUAUGUGAAAAUGUCACAGCUUCGAAACAAGCUAUCAUACAUAUCCAAGUUAACGACAUGGACUGAGCUACCGGAAAAAACGUUACCAUU